CCGAUAUUUAACCAAGCGGGUCGAAAUGCACUGGCUCUCUGUGCUCAGUUCGAAGAGGACCGUCGCGUGCAGGAACUUCAAUAUGCCG